AACGGCUACCACAUCUAAGGAAGGCAGCAGGCGCGUAAAUUACCCAAUCCUGACUCAGGGAGGUAGUGACAAGAAAUAACAACCCGGGGGAUUCACAUCCUUACGGGAUUGCAAUGAGAACAAUUUAAAUCACUUAGCGAGGAUCAAUUGGAGGGCAAGUCUGGUGCCAGCAGCCGCGGUAAUUCCAGCUCCAAUAGUGUAUAUUAAAGUUGUUGCAGUUAAAAAGCUCGUAGUUGAACUUCUGGCAGCGUGCAGAUUUGGCUUCGGUCAGUCUGUUCGUUGUCAUCCGUCUGCAAACCUUGUACGUCCUUGAGUGGUUCGGUGAGGGGAGUAGACAUUUUACUUUGAAAAAAUUAGAGUGUUUCAAGCAGGCUUUUGCCAGAAUACUUUAGCAUGGAAUAAUGGAAUAGGACUCUUGUCCAUUUGGUUGGUUAUUGGACCGGAGUAAUGAUUAAUAGGGACAGUUGGGGGCAUUAGUAUUUAAUUGUCAGAGGUGAAAUUCAUGGAUUUAUUAAAGACUAACUUAUGCGAAAGCAUUUGCCAAGGAUGUUUUCAUUAAUCAAGAACGAAAGAUAGGGGAUCAAAGACGAUCAGAUACCCGUCCUAGUCUUAACUAUAAACGAUGUCGACUCGGGAUUGGAAAGGUAACUAUUAUCCUUUCCAGCACCGUAUGAGAAAUCAUUAAGUCUUUGGAUUCUGGGGGGAGUAUGGUCGCAAGGCUGAAACUUAAAGGAAUUGACGGAAGAGCACCACCAGGCGUGGGACCUGCGGCUUAAUUUGACUCAACACGGGAAAACUUAUUUCAGCAAAACAUGAGUGGGAUUGACAGAUUGAGAGCUCUUUCUUGAUUUUAUGGGGGGUGGUGCAUGGCCGUUCUUAGUUGGUGGAGUGAUUUGUCUGGUUAAUUCCGUUAACGAACGAGACCUUGACCUGCUAAAAUAGUCAAUCCGUGAGCAACGGGUUGUACUUCUUAGAGGGACUAUGGGUUACAAGCCCAUGGAAGUUUGAGGCAAUAACAGGUCUGUGAUGCCCAUAGAUGUUGAAAGCGGCACGCGCGUCAUACUGUCCUGUAACAGCAAGUUUCAUCCUCUCUUGGAAAAGUAGGGGUAAUCUAUAAAACAGGACGUGGUAGGGAUAGAUCUUUGGAAUUAUAGAUCUUGAACGAAGAAUGCCUAGUAAGUGCAAGUCAUCAACUUGUGCUGAUUACGUCCCUGUCCUUUGUACACACCGCCCGUCGCUCCUACCGAUUUCGAGCGAUAUGGUAAAUCUCCUGGACCGUGGGACUCCUCGUGGGUCUCGUGGAAAGUUUAGUAAACCUUAUCGCUUAGGGGAAGGAGAAGUCGUAACAAGGUAACC
rnacentral:rRNA from 1 species